UCUCUUUCUGCUUCUCUUCUUCUUGUUCUUCCCCAAAUUAAGAAUUAAGGUCCUGUUUUUUUUAAUAAGAGGGGAAUUAAAGGAUGGGUUUGAUAGAUUUGAAGGUUUGGUUUCUGUAUUGAGUUUAAAUUAGAGAAGAGAAGAGUAGGGAAUUGAAUUAGGUUUUAGUUGAGAACUGUUGUUGAUGAUGGUGGUAUUGCUUCAAAGGGAGUUCAAACUCAGGGGAGAUGGGAAUUAUGGCCUCGACAUCAAUGGGUGGUAGAACAACAAUUCAGGGAAGACUAUUGUUGGAAUGGUUGCAGGUGGUGACUGAGAAGAGAAUGUGUUUAAAAGUUGGGGUUGAAUUGUUGAUGUAGAUGGGAUUGAGCUCAUAGUAGUACAUCUGUAUCUGUUGGUGAUGUUAUGAAGCUGGAUUGGUAUAAGUUGAGAUGAUGAUCUUUAAUUGUGGAACAUGAUUGAGAUGCGGGUUUAGCUGAAUUGGUAAUGGUGGUGUUGAUGUCUGAAAUGGUUGGAACGUAGAUGAAUGUUUGUGUCUUGCCAGUGGGUUGAGGCUAUGAUAUUACAGUUCAUGAAAAUAAUGUUCAUGAGAGUUCUGUUCGAGCUAACGCUAUAACUGAAGAAGUUCAAUGAGAUGUUAUGUGAUUGAGUUAGAUGAGUAUGCUGAGUUGAAUAUCUCUUAUAGGAGCUUAAAGCUGCAACUGCAGGUAGACUUAAUCUUUGAUUGUAAUUGGAAUUUGUAGUUAAAUUAUGUAGUUCAGUUAAAUUGAAUAUAUUAGUAUUGUAAUGGGAGUUUUAGA